GACGAACGCUGGCGGCGUGCUUAACACAUGCAAGUCGAACGGAAAGGCCCUGCUUUUGUGGGGUGCUCGAGUGGCGAACGGGUGAGUAACACGUGAGUAACCUGCCCUUGACUUUGGGAUAACUUCAGGACACUGGGGCUAAUACCGGAUCGGAGCUCCUGCUGCAUGGUGGGGGUUGGAAAGUUUCGGCGGUUGGGGAUGGACUCGCGGCUUAUCAGCUUGUUGGUGGGGUAGUGGCUUACCAAGGCUUUGACGGGUAGCCGGCCUGAGAGGGUGACCGGCGACAUUGGGACUGAGAUACGGCACAGACUCCGACGGGAGGCAGCAGUGGGGAAUAUUGCACAAUGGGCGGAAGCCUGAUGCAGCAACGCCGCGUGCGGGAUGACGGCCUUCGGGUUGUAAACCGCUUUCGCCUGGGACGAAGCGUGAGUGACGGUAAUGGGUAAAGAAGCACCGGCUAACUACGUG
rnacentral:rRNA from 1 species